rnacentral:rRNA from 1 species
UACGGGGGGGGCAAGCGUUGUUCGGAAUCACUGGGCGUAAAGCGCACGUAGGCGGAUUGCUAAGUCAGGGGUGAAAUCCUGGAGCUCAACUCCAGAACUGCCUUUGAUACUGGCGACCUUGAGUCCGGGAGAGGUGAGUGGAACUGCGAGUGUAGGGGUGAAAUUCGUAGAUAUUCGCAAGAACACCAGUGGCGAAGGCGGCUCACUGGCCCGGUACUGACGCUGAGGUGCGAAAGCGUGGGGAGCAAACAGG